UGGGGGGUGGCGGAAUUGGCAGACGCGCCGUCCUGUUUCGACGGUGGUGGUUACGUGAAAGCGCACCAUGGAGGUUCGAAUCCUUCCCCUCCAGCCC
rnacentral:tRNA from 1 species